rnacentral:rRNA from 1 species
AGGACGAACGCUGGCGGCGUGCUUAACACAUGCAAGUCGAGCGGAAAGGCCCUUCGGGGUACUCGAGCGGCGAACGGGUGAGUAACACGUGAGUAACCUGCCCUUGGCUCUGGGAUAGCUCCGGGAAACCGGAAUUAAUACCGGAUAUGACUUCGGCCGACAUCGGCUGCGGUGGAAAGAUUUAUCGGCCAGGGAUGGGCUCGCGGCCUAUCAGCUUGUUGGUGGGGUAACGGCCUACCAAGGCGACGACGGGUAGCCGGCCUGAGAGGGCGACCGGCCACACUGGGACUGAGACACGGCCCAGACUCCUACGGGAGGCAGCAGUGGGGAAUAUUGCGCAAUGGGCGAAAGCCUGACGCAGCGACGCCGCGUGGGGGAUGAAGGCCUUCGGGUUGUAAACCCUUUCGGCAGGGACGAGCGAAGUGACGGUACCUGCAGAAGAAGCGCCGGCUAACUACGUGCCAGCAGCCGC